rnacentral:lncRNA from 1 species
GAUACGGGUGCGGGUGGCCCGAUCUUUUCAUGAGAUUGAUAACUCUCGAUUUGUGUAGGAGGUGACGUUGACGAUCCGACUACGGCCUAGGAGGCAGCGCCUUAGCAAUCGAUACACCAACUCCAGAGGGUUAUUGAUCACGCGGGGGCACGAUCAACCUGACCACGAAGGUCUUUGUUCCUCCAAUCAAUCAAAGAACAAUCAAGAACAAGAUAAAUAGC